AAACCUUGAGGACGGAACGGGCAGCCGUCGCCCCUCGGAACAACUCUGUGUACAAGAGCCGAGGUUAGGAGAUGUGGGAAAAAGUCACCCCACCUAGGUGU
rnacentral:ncRNA from 12 species